GGGAGGGCCGGGGAUGGUUUCUGGGGGCGGCUGCGGGGGUACGGAGGCGGAGAAGCGGUACCCCGUGGUUCUGCCUUCGCCCCUCGGCUCGGGGAGGGCCGCGGGAGGGAGGAGGGAGCUGCGGAGCGGGGCAGAGGCAUUCCUGCCGCCGCCCCGGGAGCCGAGGCAUCGGAGAAACGGGCAUUUAUAGGUGACGUACGGGCUUACGUGGGAGCUCGUGCCCAGCACCGCUCUCCCAGCGCCGUUUCUACUGACACGACACCUUCCCGCAGCGCGCACCCCCCUUUUCCAGGCUGGGGGGGGGGGGGGAGGGUUGGGGGGGAGCGGGAGGGGACAGCAAAAGGGAAAAGAAAAGCGGCCCUUUCUUAUCCCGCUCGGGAGACGAGCCCCGGAGCUCCGAAAGUGAGCGGAGGGCGAUGGAGGGCGGCGGGGAGCGGGCCGGGACGCGUCCCCGUGCUCCGAGAGCGGGGCGAAGCGGCGGGGGAGGCGGGCAGCGCAGGAACGCGCCCGGGGACCGCAGCGCCUUCAGCUCCCGGAGCCGCGGGCACCGCUCGGGUGAAUCGGGGAUGAAACGUGGGAGAAAUGCGGGAGGGGAGGCGAGAAAAGGUCGGGAGCGAAGUGAGGCUGUGAGAGCGGAGGGGGAUUUGUGAAAUAGAUAGAUAUGUGGAUAAUCAUUUUUCUCUUUCCUCGCUCUGCAAAAGCUGCAGGCGAAACGCUAAAUGUAUAAUUGUGUAAAGGGGAAUAUAAGGAUGAGAAAAAUGGAGGGGGAGCGGAGGAAGGAAGAGAGGGAAGGAGAGAAAGGCACGCGGCACCGCCGUGCUCGUGUCCUGAGUUCGGCCGGAGCUCACGGGCGGGAUGCUGCGGGCACAGCACGGCACGGCCCGGCCCGGCCUGACCGUCGGGGCGGCACGGACGGCACGGCCCGGUAUCGCACGGCCCGGCCCGGCCCGGCCCGCUGGAGGGACCCUCUGCCUCUUUCUCCCUUUCUGCCGCCGCCCCCCACGGAAAGCUCGUGGUCCUGCUCUGCCCGACGGCUGCGGUGCCGCACCGCACCGUGCCGUGCCGAGCUGAGCUGUGCUGGGCUGGGCUGUGCUGGGCUAUGCUGGGCUGUGCUGUGCUGUGCUGUGCUGUGCUGGGCUGUGCUGGGCUGUGCUGUGCUGUGCUGUGCUGUGCCGGGCCGUGCAGUGCCGGGCCGUGCCGUGCCGCUCCGGGGAGCCUCGCGGACUUUCAGCACUUGGACAGCGGUGCGGGAGCCGGGCCGUGCCGGGCUGUGCCGGGAGGGUCGGGGGGAGCGCACGCAGUGAUGCUCCGUACGGCGGAGGCAAUGGGGAGGCGGCGUUCCUUCCUGAACGCCGGGCGUGGGGACACGGCCGAGGGGGCUCCGGGGAGCACCCCUGGAGGGGUACCUCGCCCCGACCCCCCCGCAGCUGGAAGAAAGCUCCGGGAGGCGCAGCCGUGCCCCGGCGGUGCGCCGCGGCCCCGCAGAGGGCACGGGGCCCCGAGGGGGCGGCAGAGGGCGGCUCGAUGGGGUGUGGGGGGAGAGCCCCCUUUCCCCCAUCUUCGGGGGGUAAUUAGGGGUGACACGGAGGGGCUGCGGUUUCUGCUCGGUGGAGCUGCCGGCGACCAACCCCCGCCGCCGCCGCCUUCCUCCCGUCCUCCUCCUCUCACCCUCCCUCCUUCCCUCCCCCCGCCUUCUCCCCUCCCCCUCUCCCUCCUCCUCCUCUCCGCCAUGGUUGGAGUGAAUCGGAGGCUGCCGGGCUGACGUCAGUGCGGGCAGAGCCUGCCGCCGGCGGCAGCUCCUGGACACCGACCAGAACCGGCACCGGCAGCAGCCGGCAGGACGCGAAGAGCCCGGGCACCGCCGCCCCCCGCACCGGGGGUACCGGGGGCGCCGGGGGCAGAGCCCUGCCCGCCCCGCCGCUCUCCCUCCGGGAAGGGCGGCCCCCGCCGCCCGCUUCGCCCACGGACGGCCCCGUCGCUGCCCUCGCCUCGGCUGCAAGCCCGGAUGGCUCCUGAAUGUCCCCGCCGGCCGGACGAAGCGGCGUGCAGCGGGCGGAACGCCCGACCGAGGCCGAGCCUCGCGGCGCAUCCCGGCGUUAGGCCCCGGGUGAGACCCCGCGCUCCGGGAUUUUUCCUUCGGACGCAGCGAGGGCUGCUGCGGGGCAUCGCUCCGUGGGGUGGGGGACGCCGCGACACCGCGCCCCCCCCUCGGGUUCAGCUCCGAGGACAGCGCCGGGGUCGCCGCUGCCCAUAACGCGAUCUGUCGGCAGCCUCUGCUGAGGGAGGAUUUUUUAUUUCACGUUUGCUUCUCUCUGUACCUUCGCUGCAUUUCCACCCCCCUUUCUUCCCCUUUUUUUCCCCUCUUUUUUAAAAUCUUUAUUUAUAAUUUAUUUUAUUUCUUUUUUAAUUCCCUUCCAUGUUUUUCUCCCAUUCAUUCUCUGCUCUCCCCUUCCUGCGGACGUUUAUUUCCUUGCUGCUUUCUUUUCUUUCUUUCUUUCUUUUUCCUCUUUUUCCCCCCCGUGUCUCCCUGGAAGUAAAACGCAUUUUAGGCCUCAGCCUUACGGAAAGCCGACCCGUAGCAGUUCAGGUGCAUUGGCAGCGCGCACCGCCCGGACCUCCCCCGCAGCCCCUCGACGUGCGCCCGCCCCACAGAACGAGGAGGGUCCGGGGCCGUCCCGCCCUCAGUCCCGGCCCCCGACGGCCGCAGGAAGGAGCGGCCGGGCUGUGGGACCCUUCGGCCGAGCCUUUCCGGCGCCGUGGCACGCUUAGACGCGGCUUUUAAUUGCAAAACAAAGCAACGCGUUUCCCGAACGCCCGUCGGGAGCCGCCGCUCCCGUGAGUUGGCGAAGCCCCGAUUGUUGGAGGAAAAGCGACAAACAAUUAAGACACGAUGCAGCUCGGGGCGGCGAGGCGCGGGGGUUACUCUAGGUUGGCUAAAAAUAACUUCUCCUAAUUAAAGAAAAGUGACGUCAGACGUGCAGGACGUAGAAGAGGGGAAGGCAGCGGACUCGGCGCGGGGCGAUCACGUUCGAUAAUUCAGGGGAACGGGCACCGGGGCCGCUCCGAGGCGCGGGCGGAGAGCGGCUCCCCGUGCCCGGCUCCGGCUGCGGGACGGCUGAGGCGGGCGGCGUCGCUCCCCCGGGGAAGGGAGCGGAGCGAAGCCGAGCCGCGGUGCGGAG
ensembl:lncRNA